CCCUGCAAGAAGACUGGGCCCCGGAGCCAGAGGCCUGAAUGCCAACACGCUCACAGACUUGGCAGGGGGAGAAAUGCUAGAUUAAGACCUGGCCACGGCACUCCUCCGGGAAGAUGAGGCUCUUUGCGUGGCCACAUACACCGACGGCCACCUCGGGUGUGAGCGGCACUGCCCUCUCCCUGCCCACAGCCUCUCCCUGCCCGUGAGAGGAAGGUUUCUUGUGAGCAAAGGAGGGGAGACCUGUCACCGAAAAUGGGAGCAGAGAAACGGGGCCUCAAGAAAAAGGCAGCCUGUGUCGAGUCCCAGGGUUCCCGGGGCGGAAAUGUUUGCUGGGCUUUUAAGAAGAAGGCUAUUUAACGAUCAGAUCUCAGCUGUUAAGUGGUGGCACCCUGCACUGUCACCGCUAACCCUCCAGACCGCCUGCCACACCCCAGCCUUCCCACCACUUUGUGGGUGGUGGUGUUCCACGACCGGAACUGGGGGUGUGGACAGCACCCCUGGGGCGCUAGACGUGUCUGGAGAUGGCCAGUUCAGUGGAUGCGGUCCUGGGAGGCCGAUGAGACGGACUGUCUGUAACCUGCAAGUCUCCUGGGCUUUUCUCCCCAGGCGGGCACUGAGGCUUUGAACCCUGAAGUUAAGACUGCAGACCGUAGAGAUAGAUGAUGCGUUUGACACACUUACUGCAAGGGUAAACUUAAGUCCUGUCAUAGACUCUCUGAGCCUUGGUUUCAUCUGUAAAAUGGGAACAAUAACAUAAAGACUAAGUUUUUCAGCAUCUACUAGGUACUAGGCCCUGAUAGAGGUGCUUUAUGUGGAUUGUCCUAUUUUAUUUUAUUUUUAAAAUUUUUUUUAACGUUUAUUUAUUUUUGAGACAGAGAGAGACAGAGCAUGAACGGGGGAGGGUCAGAGAGAGAGGGAGACACAGAAUCGGAAACAGGCUCCAGGCUCCGAGCUGUCAGCACAGAGCCGGACGCGGGGCUCGAACUCACAGAGCACGAGAUCAUGACCUGAGCCGAAGUCGGACGCUCAACCGACUGAGCCACCCAGGCACCCCUGGAUUGUCCUCUUUUAAGCCUUACUACAACCCUAUGAGGUAGGUGCUAUUUUCAGAUGAGGAAACUGAGGACUAGGAAGCGUAGGCAGCUGGUUAAGUUUAUACAAUCGGUAGCAGAGGUAUGAAAACCCAGGAGGUCUCGGUCCAGAGACGGUGCCAUUAGCUGUGACCCAGAUCACAUCUACUUAUGAAGGUAGCUGUGAAUGCUAAGUGAACUUCUGCAUGCAGACCUCUCAGAACGGUGCCUGAUGCGUCGUAAGUGCUCGAGAAGUUCAAUCCGAGCUCUUGUGGUGUGAGAAGUGAUGUGGACACCCGACUCAAGCUUAAACAUUAAGGUAAUUUAUUAUUUCACCAACGGGAAGUCCCGGAGCAUUCCUGGCCUCAGGAUGGAUUGAUUCAGUGGUUCGACGGUGGCCUAAGGACCCAGGAGAUUUCUGUCUCUGACUCUACACAUUGGAUCCAGUCCAAGGUUAGCUACCUUCUUGAUGACAAGAUGGCUGCCCGCAGCCCCUAGACCAACAUGCAUCCUUACUCUUCCGGCAAGAGGAAGAGGCUGUGCCCCUAAACGGGACAUCCGAGGGCUUCCCUUCAGUCUGACUGGGCAAGCUGUGUCAUGUGGUCAUCCCUGGACCAGUAAUGGCACUGAAACAAUGCCAGGAGCUGGUUAGCUUUGCCUUCUCUGCCUGCAUGCUUGGAACUGGUAUUGGGGCAAGCUUUCCCAGAAUAAGGGGGCUGGCCAGAGGAGGGAUCUGCUGGGAACUCAUAAAGCGGUUGUGGACGCAACUUUAACUAGUGACCCCUGUCAACUGGAGGGUCUGGGGGGGAUCCCUGGGUUACACAAAUCAUUUGAAUACAAUGUGUUCGUCCAUUGUGCGGUGGUGCCGGAUCUAGAGGAAGAAGAGGUUUAUUUGGACUGAGGGUGGAGGUUUAUUUGUGGGAGGAUCCCUGGAGGCUUCGCCUCUGAAUCCUGGAGUCUGAGGAAGAUUUCCUCAGGCUGGAAAGCCUGAGAAGAGGGUCAGAGGGUACGGCAUGAGCAAAGAGCUAUACGCUUCUGGGAAGUUGGGGCUUAGGGGCAGAGUAGCCUGGGAGGGAGGGAGGGCGUGUGUAGACAUGGCCCUCAGAAGACAGAAUGGGCUCCUAUCCACCUCACCUCCUGGCCGAGAGCACCAGAAUGUACAAGAUCUGGCCAAGUUCACGCAUUGCAUUUAAUUGCCUGACGUGUCUUUCUAAUCUCCUUGAGUCAGGAACAGCAAGCCGCCUUUCCUUGCCUUUCACGACGCUGGUAUUUGGAAGAAUACAGACCAGUUAUUUUAUAGAAUGUUGCUCGAUUUGGGGCUCCUCUGGCUGCUGGCACUGAGCACGAGCACGGCUCAGCACUGGGGAAGCGUGAAGGACACUUCUCAGCUUUGAAAAAAAUACAGCUGACUGCUUGAAUUUCAAAUAGUUUAACGCCCCCUCUGCUACCUAGCUGUGAUCUAAAGGACUGAUUGUUCGGGCCUCAAAGUACCAAAUAAAUGAACUGUGAAUGCCCAAGGAUGGACAAGAGACGUCCUUAUUCAAGUCCAAAUGUAUGGCUGGAGAGGACUGUCGUCGUUUGCUCUUAUGUAGCAAGGAAACAGCCGGGAAGUAGGCUACCCAGGCCUGGGAUUCUCCCGGGGCAACCACUUGGCAUCCUCUGCACCUUCAGACAGUAGGAAAUGAGCUGCUCAUCUGACUCAGGGCCACAAAGCUCUGGGUGGAGACCCUCUGUGGUCAGAGCUGUUUGUCUAUGUUGAAGAUCACAGCCAUAUUCUUGAGGCAAAGGGCAAAGGGCAGAGCAGGCGUUUAGGGGAAGACUGCUGAACACAGAGUACUGCCCGUAGGAUGGCUGUGAGUGGUGGGAGAAGGAUGGACGGUGCAGCAAAGCACCAUCUAGAGUCAGAAGAACCUUGGGUUCAAAUUGAUUGAGUGGUUUGGGCAAGUGAUUUAAUCUCUGUAAGCCUCAGUUUGUCCUCAGCAAAAUGGGGAGCACUAAUAAUACUCAAACUCAGGGGCACCGGGCUGGCUCAGUUGGCAGGGCACGUGACUCUUGGUCUCGGGGUGGU